AAAUUGAAGAGUUUGAUCAUGGCUCAGAUUGAACGCUGGCGGCAGGCCUAACACAUGCAAGUCGAGCGGAAACGAGUUAUCUGAGCCUUCGGGGGACGAUAACGGCGUCGAGCGGCGGACGGGUGAGUAAUGCCUAGGAAAUUGCCCUGAUGUGGGGGAUAACCAUUGGAAACGAUGGCUAAUACCGCAUGAUGCCUAUGGGCCAAAGAGGGGGACCUU
rnacentral:rRNA from 1 species